GUGGAAGUGAUGCAUGACCUUCAACCUGACAACAGUGAUGUCUUGUAUUCAUACUGUCUGAUCCAC